rnacentral:rRNA from 1 species
AUGCCGCCACUGUUGCAAGGAGCAGGGGAGAUAGGCGACGAGGACAAGAAGCAGCAGGCUGGUCGCGAUGGGCUUGAGGUGCUGGGAAGACGGAGGAGUCCGUCGUGGUUCGUCAUGGAGGCGGCGCCGCCGGCCAGGGGACAUCGUUGGUGCGCUCGGUGCAGGAUCGUCGGGGCUGCUCUCGUUCGUUCAGUUUGUCAUUGUUCCUUUCGCUCUACUCCUGCUCAAGAGGCUUACUUGCAGUCCCUGAGCAAGGCUCUGUCGCACUACCACAAGGCCCAACUGCUGCUCCUCGACAUCACCGACUUCUCGCUAUCCAGAGCAAGUAUGAGAGCUCCAGUAAGGCCAUCGUCCAGAACCAGUCCAUGUCUGAGACGAUGUUUGGAAGGGUGUCCGAUUUCAUCGCACCUUUUGCAAUGUUUCCUAAGACGGAUGAGCCUAGAGGUACCAGAACAAUACAAUUCAAUCUCUUCUCAUGUUCCUGCGAGAGUAGAUACAGUGUACUGUGUUGGAUAUGCUGACUCGUUUUGA